rnacentral:rRNA from 1 species
AUUGAACGCUGGCGGCAUGCUUUACACAUGCAAGUCGAACGGUAACAGGCCGCAAGGUGCUGACGAGUGGCGAACGGGUGAGUAAUGCAUCGGAACGUGCCCAGUCGUGGGGGAUAACUUCUCGAAAGAGUAGCUAAUACCGCAUACGAUCUAUGGAUGAAAGCGGGGGACCGUAAGGCCUCGCGCGAUUGGAGCGGCCGAUGUCAGAUUAGGUAGUUGGUGGGGUAAAGGCUCACCAAGCCAACGAUCUGUAGCUGGUCUGAGAGGACGACCAGCCACACUGGGACUGAGACACGGCCCAGACUCCUACGGGAGGCAGCAGUGGGGAAUUUUGGACAAAGGGCGCAAGCCUGAUCCAGCAAUGCCGCGUGCAGGAAGAAGGCCUUCGGGUUGUAAACUGCUUUUGUACGGAACGAAACGGCUCUGGUUAAUACCCGGGGCUAAUGACGGUACCGUAAGAAUAAGCACCGGCUAACUACGUG